UACGUAGGGUGCGAGCGUUGUCCGGAUUUAUUGGGCGUAAAGAGCUCGUAGGCGGUUUGUCGCGUCGGCCGUGAAAUCUCCACGCUUAACGUGGAGCGUGCGGUCGAUACGGGCAGACUUGAGUUCGGUAGGGGAGACUGGAAUUCCUGGCGUAGCGGUGAAAUGCGCAGAUAUCAGGAGGAACACCGGUGGCGAAGGCGGGUCUCUGGGCCGAUACUGACGCUGAGGAGCGAAAGCGUGGGGAGCGAACAGG
rnacentral:rRNA from 1 species